rnacentral:rRNA from 1 species
AGAUUGAACGCUGGCGGCGUGCCUAACACAUGCAAGUCGAGCGGUAACAGGUGUAGCAAUACAUGCUGACGAGCGGCGAACGGGUGAGUAAUGCUUUGGAAUCUUCCCAGUAGUGGGGAAUAACCAGUCGAAAGAUUGGCUAAUACCGCAUACGUCUGUAAAGGGAAAGCGGGGGCUCGUAAGACCUCGCGCUAUUGGAUGAGCCAAAGUCGGAUUAGCUAGUUGGUGGGGUAAUGGCCUACCAAGGCGACAAUCCGUAGCUGGUCUGAGAGGACGACCAGCCACACCGGAACUGAGACACGGUCCGGACUCCUACGGGAGGCAGCAGUGGGGAAUAUUGGACAAUGGGGGAAACCCUGAUCCAGCGACGCCGCGUGUGUGAAGAAGGCCUGCGGGUUGUAAAGCACUUUUAGUGGGGACAAAAGCUACGGACUAAUAUUCUGUGGUCUUGAUUUAACCCAAAGAAAACGCACCGGCUAACUCUGUGCCAGCAGCCGC